rnacentral:lncRNA from 1 species
GCCGCUUCAAAAGUAAGUCCUCUUUGCCCAGGAGUGCCAAGACUUAUGAUCAUCAUCAAUUGAUUCUUAAUGUCUAAAUCUAAGAUUUUGAGCUCCUGAUCUUGGAAUUAGACAACAGUUAGCACAAUGAUGGGUUUCAGUACUACCGCAGAGUCCGUCUCAUGUUUCUUCUUCUCUGCAUGGAAGAAACUAGCAUCAUGGGAUAAAAGUAGAAAACGCAGACAAAACCAAGAUUGGGCCUUUAUGGAGGAAUUAUGCCGCCGAUUUUCGCUAGAUGAGAUCAUAGCAGCCACUGAAUGCUUCAACGACAAGUUCCAUAUUGGUAGCAGUACCAUGGGCUCAGUCUAUAAAGGGUACAUCAACGGCGGGGCAACUGUUGUUGCAGUCAAGCGAUUUACAGGCAGCAGACAAGACUUCAGGAAUGAGGUGCUGCUGUCCUGCCAGCUGCGCCACCCCAACCUUGUCCCUGUUAUUGGAUUCUGUGAAGAAAAGGAGGAACUCAUCCUUGUCUACGACUACACAUCCAAAGGUGCCCUCUCUUCUAAGCUGUUCAAAAGAGCGGAUCUUGAUCCGCUGCCCUGGAGGCAGAGGCUGAACAUAUGUAUCGGGAUAGCACGCGCAUUGCAUUAUCUCCAUGCAGGGCUAAAACAUGUUAUUGUCCACCGCGACGUGAAAUGCUCCAUCAUACUAUUGGAUGAAAGGUUCGAAGCAAGGGUUUCAAACUUACUAACGUUCAAGAUGGGUCCUCCUAGUUUGUCAAAUAAAUUCAUACGAGUGACCUCUGGUAGGAUCGUGGGCACUUUCGGGUAUAUUGAUCCCGAGUAUAUCCAUUUGGAACAAUUUACAGAAAAAUCUGAUGUCUACUCGUUUGGAAUGGUGCUGCUGGAAGUGUUGACUGCCAAAUGGGCAAAAGAGUUUCAUACAUACACAGGCAGGCCGGACACCUUAUGCGAUAUAAUGGACCCUUCUUUGAGGGGUAAAAUAGCUCCUGAUUGUUUGCAAAAAUUUAUGGAUAUCGUUUACAGAUGUACAAGUCCUACAGGAGCAGAGCGGCCCUCAGUGGGCGAAGUGCAAGUGGAACUGGAGUGCGCAUUGGAGCUGCAAGACAGCGCAGAUACCAAGAAGGACGCUUGUGUUGGUCAUGCAGGUGACUAUAGCUACCAAGGGAUGUCAAUUUGUGAAAUUGAAGAUAUUUUCUCAUUUUUGUUUAGGCAGCCGUCAACUUCGGAUGUGUCAACUCUUGAUUUGAAUAGCAUCGAUUUUUCUGCUUCUGAUGAUGGUUGAUUCAAAUCAAACAGGGCAACACUAAUGUAGACAUUUUUAUGUAUACCAUGCCCUUAAAUCCAUUUGUUUUAACAAUAAGCUCGUAUUUACAUACGUUUGGAACAAUAGCGAAGAUUUGGUAAAUUUUGUUUCUUUUUCUUCCAACUUAGGUGCUUCAAAUUGUCUGACCAAAAACAAAGAGAAUUGAGUGUUACAGGAGCACUAUAUCUACAAGCAGGGCUUGACAAUUCAUACAGCUAUCAAUCAACCGAGAGCAAAAGACCGUUUGCUUGACUCCUGUUGUAAACUGAAAUUGAAGGGAAAGAAAUUACCUGGAAAAUGUAGAAGCCUUGAGUGGAGAAUGAUUCUUGGGAUGAGUCGCGGACUAAGUCGUUCUCUCUAAGACGUUUCGCAGCUCUGCCCAAAGUGUGGAAGCAGUUCACAAACACCACGUCGUCCCUAAGAUAAAACAGCCCAAAAUCAUCUUCUUCUAAUAAGGUUCUUCCUUGCACACUGGAAGAACUUUCGAACUUCACACCCUUUUCAAAAUGUUGCUUUCAGAACUCAAUUUUUGUUUUGAAAAUUAUAUAAACUAUUGUUUUCUUUUUCCUGCAUCUCCUUGUACAGGAGAUCAAUAUAUAUAUAUAUAUAUAUAACCGCAAGGAAUUACAGCAAAAGAAAUCAAUACGUACAAUCAACAACGGAACGAAAUUAAGUACAUGGACUUGAUCUUUAUCUUUAUAGAAGGAAUUCUAUCUUUAAGAUGAGAAGCUUUCUCACGUUUCUUUUUGUGGAAAUAAAUCAAUUGUCAAAUCAUAGGUUAAUAAUAAACUUAUAAAGUUAAUUACUACUUACGUUUUAUAUUUAAAAUUUGUAAUAAAUCAAAAUAUAAAUAUAUUUAAAAUAUUUAAAUAAAAACAUAUUUAUUCCAACAACUCCUUGAGUCUUUGAGUCCUGACACUGUCCUUUUUAUGGUUGCAUAAAUGCUUUAUAUCAUCCAAUUAUAAAUUUUUUGGGGUCUGAACUUUAGAUCAUUGCAUUGCACCUAACAUCUCCAUAUAAAACUAUAUAUCACCAGAUCAAUUCUAACUAGAUUUAGCCACCAUCAAACCCUAGCCAUCAAGGAUACAAAAAAGAAAAGAAAUCAGCUAUUACAUCCAGUGACCAAAUAUUAAAAAAAUAUGUUAAUUGAUCAAAUCCGAAAUGGCUACAGGGAUUGAAGAAAGGAAGGUACCCUACACAACAUGCCAAUUAUCAUGCGGGUCUUUUAGGUUGGGGUCCAACAACAUAGUUGUUUUUUAGACUAGGUUCAGUUAUUCAAUUCCUUUUCUUAUACCAAUUUUGUCAUUUCAGAUAAAAAAUAUAAAUUUAUAUCAAGCUUACUCUUAUCAUAUCUACUUCAGAUUUCGUUUGCGCACAGGCUAUUACCUUAAUUAGUGUUGGAUUAGCAAAUUACACUUAUCGCAGUGACGGAAAGAAAUAAUGUAUAUGCACUUCGGUGCAUGUUUGAUCCUCACCAAUCCCUUGCCCCUAUAAUUAACAAUUUAACCUACUAACGUUAUCGUUUGUUAUAAAAAUAAAAAAUAAAAAAUAAAAAAAUUAGUGUAUGCAUUAAAUUAUAAAAUAAAAGGAUUUAAAAAAGUUAUAAACAUAUGGAGUUUGAGGGAUUUUUAAUGGAUUUCCAUGGACCUCCUGUGAAUUUUGAGCAAAAUUCCUCCAAAAUCUCACUGGAAGAAGCAUAAUUUUGUAGACUAAAUCAGACUAUAUAUGAAAUUCAUCAAAAUCAUUCACUUUUAAAAUCUUUUAAAAUCUCAAUUGAAUACAUUCCUUUAUAGGUUGAGAAGGCCAGGUGUGAGUGCAGGCGUUUUAAGGAUUUUUCUUUUUUCAAGUAUAAGGGUUAGGUUUGACAGCGGUGGUGUGUGUGUUUCUUCUUUGCUUUUUGCCAUUUUGGUAAUUUCUUGUAUUUCCAAUUUUUUAUUCGUUAAUUAAAUUAUUUUACCUUUUUUCCACAAAUACAUUUUCACAUACCAGGUAUAUGCAUACAUAGGCUAUAGCAAAGGUAUUUUAAGACGGACUUAACCUGGCGAUAUUAUUUUGUAAUUCCUGUUAACCGCUAAUUUGUUUAAAAGAAAAAAAAAAUGAACUCGAAUAUAGUCAAUUGGAAGAAUUGGUGAAAAUAAUAUUUUAGUUAAAGUGAAAAGAUUUCACAUACUAGGUUUAUGCACGGUCAUUGACGUUGUUUUCAAUUUACUUGUGCGCCGCACAAAUUAUCUUUAUUUUUUUGGACAAAUAUCUUUUCUUUUGUUAAAAAAGUAAAUUCUAGUCAAAAAAUGCAAAUGAACAUUCCUAAAAUAUAUGAAGCUUUAAGGUGGGAAAAUUAAUACUAUAUAUUUCUUAUAUAAGAGUAUUAAUUAUAUUUAAAGUUAUAGACUACCAUCAUAAACUUGUAAAUUUCUAUGGAGGUGUAGAAUUCAUGCUUCUUCUUCAUUUUUUUUUUAUAAGAAAUCAAGUGAUUUUUCUAAACUUCAUUGUAUUUUAUAAAUUUCGACAAGUGUUUGAGAUACAUUUGCAGAUAAACAAACGAAAAAUAGACUUGGGAACACGGAUUUUUUUUUUUCAUUUAUCAUGUGAUUACAUACAAGUGUAAAAAAAAUACCCAUGAAGUUGAAUUUCUUUCCUGAAUUCUCAAGAUUGAGAUAAAGACAUAGGAAAAUUCUAAAAAUUAGAGAUAAUUAAACAAGCUAGGAACUAGUUAGUAGCAGUGAGGUCCUCUCUAUAGCCUGAUUUGCACGGUCUAGACUAGUUAGUAUCAAUGAGGUUCUUAAUAAGGGUAGUAUUGCAAGAGAUAAAACUUAGCUAGAACUUUCUGUUAUUCUAGUUAGUUAAGUAGUUCUUUGAUAAAUGUAUAUAUAAGCAUCAAGUGUAAUCUUAUUGAUUGAGUGAAAUACAAUCACAUUUAUAUUUUUUACUUCUCUCUCUACAUUUCUAUCUUCCACAGAAUCUCUCUCUCUAGACUUUAUCAUGGUUUCAUUGCCAUUUGUCUACCGACUCUCCCGAUCCUAAUCGCUUCUGCACCGCCUCUUCUCACCGCCUCUUUGCACAAACCCUAACCGCCAUUGUUUCUCCAUGGCAGACUCUUCAUCUCCUUCCCCUGACAUUGUUUCUCUGAUCAAUUCCUCUGUUGUUUCCACACCCUCAUCCAUUACGAUUCAGAACAUUGGUUUUAUGGUGCCAAUUAAACUCACCACUACUAAUUACCUUACCUGGAGCGCUCUCUUUGCUCUGAUCUUCCAGUAGUACAAUCUCACCGGCAUAAUUGAUGGAUCUCCGGUGGCUUCGCCUAAAUAUCUGUGUGAUUCUUCUGGAAAUCGUACCUCAACUCUGAAUCCGGCGUUCUUCACUUGGUAUGAAAAUGAUCAGAAUAUCCUGAUUUGGAUAAAUUCAACUCUCUCCAACUCUUUGAUUCCUUAUAUUGUUGGUGUGGCUUUGUCUCGUGAACUCUGGGCUAAACUCGAAUCAAGACUCGCGACGGCGUCACAUUCUCACAUCCAUGAACUCCGAUCUCGGCUUCGUGCUAUAACCAAAGGUGAUGCUUCUGCAACUUCGUAUCUUCAGCAAAUCGAAGAAAUUGUUGAUGCUUUAGCCAGCGCUGGAGCUCCGAUUGAUGAUUCUGAGUUGAUCUCUGUGAUUCUUCACGGACUGCCUUCUGAGUUUGAUUCCUUGGUUGAUGCGAUUCAGUUUCGUAUUAGAUCCAUAACUAUUGAUGAGCUUCAUGGACUUUUACUGAGCAAAGAAAUCCAGAUUGAAAAUCGCAAGAAAUCCACCUCUGCACUGAUUCAGGCAUUCCACACUUCCACUGGAAUUCUGCCUUUACCUUCUGAACCGCAAAUGUCUCAGGCCUACGUUGCUCAACAUUUCUCUAACUUUACCCCUCAUUCAGGUCGUGGUUCUGAUCACAACUUCUCAAACCCUAGAAACUCUUAAAAUCGAGGAAAUUUCAAAAACAACAAUCAGCGAACCGGUUUCAAUCGCUCCAAUAAUCAAAAGUAUAAUCACAAUCGUAGUUCUCGAUUCAACAAUUCAAGCUAUGCUAAUUAUGGGAGAAGAAUCAUUUGUCAAAUCUGCAAGCAAUUUGAUCAUGAAGCUAUUGAAUGCCCUGAGCGGCUGAAUCCUACCUUUGGCACCUUCUCUCCAUCUGCAUUAUGUGCUAAUACCUCUACUCCUCAGCACUCAUGGUUGCUUGAUUCUGGUGCAUCCUCACACAUGACUAACUCCUAUGCGAAGCUGCAAAAUCCAAAAUCUUACACUGGACCUGAGCAAGUAUACAUUGGAGAUGGCAAAGGUUUGCCAAUACUUCAUCUUAGUUCCUCUAAUGUAUUUAUCUUCUCAUUGCUUUAAUCUUAAGAAUGUUUUACAUGUUCCUGAUCUCAAGCAAGAUUUGUUAUCUGCAAACAAAUUCAUUCUUGAUAACAACUGCUCAAUACAUCUAUAUCCUUUUCACUUUACUGUGAAUGAUCUUUCUACGGAGAAGGUGCUUUUUAAAGGACCUGUGCAAGAAGGCUUUUAUCCGUUUCAAACUUCCAUUGCUGCCAAUCAACAUGUGUUUGCAGCUUCAUCCAAAACACCUCAGGAUAUAUGGCAUCAAAGGCUUGGUCAUCCCUAUUCUAGAAUACUAAAUAAAGUUGCAUUUCACUGUGGUAUUUCUUUUUCUACUGGUAUAAAUAAAUCUCUGUGUUCCAACUAUGCAAUGGGCAAAUGUUCAAAAUUGCCAUUCAGUUUUGUUUCUUAUUCUACAAGUAGACCUCUAGAGCUUAUACACACAGACAUAUGGGGACCUUCACCAACUGUAUCUGUACAUGGCUUUCGAUAUUACAUCAUCUUUGUUGAUGAUUAUACAAAGUAUUGUUGGUUCAUUCCACUUACAUAUAAAUCUGAAGCUUUCUAGGUCUUUACUCAUUUCAAGUCUAUGGUUAAGAACUUGUUGUGCACUAAAAUUGUUACUCUGAGAUUAGAUUCUGGUGGAGAGUUUCUAAGUAUUCAGUUUUCCAAGUUCUUAAGGGAUAUUGGCAUUAUUCACCAACUUAGUCGUCCCUAUACUCCAGAACAAAACAGUUGUGCUGAAAGAAAGCAUCGCCACCUGGUUGAAACAACACGAACUCUUCUUGCCUCUAAAGUUCCUCAUGAAUUUUGGGUUGAUGCUUUUGCCGCAUCUAUAUAUCUCAUCAAUAGACUUCCUACUGCACAACAUUGUUCUCCAUGAGAAUCUUUUUUUCACAAACUACCAGAGUAUACCACUCUUAAGAUAUUUAGUUGCAAAUGUUUUCCUUGGCUCAAACCCUAUAUCAGUUCCAAACUUGAACCCAAAAGUCAACCUUGUGUCUUCUUGGGCUAUAGUUUACAACACAAAGGGUAUAAAUGCAUGGAUCUUGUCACUCGAAAGGUCUAUAUUUCCAGGCAUGUCAUUUUUUAUGAAACUCAGUUUCCAUUUCAUCACAUCUCAAGCUCUUCAACUCUGCCUAUGUCUCAACCUUCUCUUUUCAAUCCUAUACCUACAUCAUUAACCUUCUCCACAACCCCUGCAGUAUCUACCAUACCUUCUUCAUCCAACCCUCCCACUCAUCAACACUCUAUCAGUCCAAAUUCAUCCAACCAACCAACCAAUAUUCACCUUAUGCAAACCCGGUCAAAAUCUAGAAUUGUAAAGCCUAAAGCUUAUACUGCAACUAAACAUCCAUUUCCAUCUCACAUAUCUCAAGACUAUCUUCCAUCUACCUAUUUUCAAGCCUCUAAAUAUCCGCACUGGAGACAAGCCAUGCAUGAAGAAUACAAUGCAUUGUGUAGGACUGAUACUUGGUCUCUCGUACCACCACAUCCUUCUCAAAAUCUAGUAGGUUGCAAAUGGGUUUUCAGAAUCAAUAGGAAACCAAAUGGGACAAUUCACAGGUACAAAGCCCGGUUAGUUGCAAAAGGGUUUCACUAGUAACAUGGCCUCGACUACAUUGAGACAUUUAGUCUCGUGGCUAAACCUGUCACCAUCAGAUUGCUUCUUACACUGUCAUCUUAAUUCAAUUGGUUUCUCCAUCAAUUGGAUGUAAGUAAUGCCUUUUUACAUGGCAACCUAUCAGAAUUUGUAUUCAUGAUUCAACCUCCGGGUUUUGAAGUCUUUACUCAACCUCAUCAUGUUUGUCAACUGCAUAAGUCCUUGUAUGGUCUUAAACAAGCCCAUCGGGCAUGGUAUGACAAGUUAUACACUGCUCUGUCUUCUCUAAGAUUCACUGGUUCCAAAAAUGACCAUUCACUUUUUGUUAAAAAAGGUCCAGCUUUAGUCUUCAUUCUAGUAUAUGUUGAUGAUAUACUAGUGACUGGUCCACAUCCUCAAGCCUGCAAGGAUAUUAUCUCUCAACUCAACAAUCUGUUUCCUAUUAAAGAUUUGGGGCAUCUUCAUUAUUUUCUGGGCAUUGAAGUCAAACGUUCAUCUUCAGGGAUUUUUAUUUCUCCGACGAAGUACAUCCUUGACUUGGUGCUAAGCCAUGUGCAACUCCACUUAGCACUUCGUCUUUGGAUCAUGAAUCUCCAUUGUUGUAAAAUCCUACUGAGUAUAGGUCAUUGGUUGGUGGGUUACAAUAUCUUACUUGGUCUCGACCGAAUCUCUCUUUUGCAGUAAACUUAGUCUGUCAAUUUAUGCAUCAACCUCGAGAAUCUCAUCUUCAAGCAGUGAAAUGAAUUUUGAGAUAUCUCAAAGGCACUCUGGAGCUUGGUCUCUGGUUUCCCAAAAUCUUCACUUCUCUCAGUAUCAAUGCCUUCUCCGAUGCAGAUUGGGCAGGUUGUCACAUAGAUAGGAGAUCCACAAGUGGCUUUUGUAUAUUUUUGGGCAGUUCACUCAUCAGUUGGAGUGCCAAGAAACAACCUACAGUAGCAUGAUCUUCUAUUGAAGCUGAAUACCGAUCUUUGGCAAACACUGCAGCUGACAUUACAUGGAUCUGCAAGCUCUUGGUUGAUGUUGGUCUACAACUUCCAUGUCUUCCUCAAAUCUGGUGUGACAACAUCUCCGCUAUAUCCUUAGCCAAGAAUCCUAUUUUUCAUGCCCGAAUAAAGCAUGUGGCAAUUGACUACCACUACAUUCAUGAAAAAGUUCUUUCCAAAGUUGUUUAUGUCCAUUUUAUUAAUACUCAAGCUUAGAUUGCUGAUAUCUACACUAAGUCUUUUUCAAAGACUCAAUUCCAUCUUCUUCUAGACAAACUUUCACUUCACACACCUCAGUUUAGUUUGAGGGGGGAUAAUAAGGGUAGUAUUGCAAGAGAUAAAACUUAGCUAGAACUUUCUGUUAUUCUAGUUAGUUAAGUAGUUCUUUCAUAAAUGUAUAUAUAAGCAUCAAGCUUAUUGAUUAUGUUUGUACCAUACUUGACCAAUCCCGAAACUGCUGAGCACCGGUCAACGUUAUACCGUCAAGGACCCAGAAAAGUUUCACUCCAAUCAGGAGGCCAAUCACAGCGCGACACGUGUCGACAACAGAAGCCAAUCAUAGCGCGACACAUGUCAACAUCAGAAGCCAAUCACAACACAACACGUGUCAAUGUCAAAACAAAGCUAGAAACUCUCUUCUAUAAAAGGAGAUCAUUCUCCCACAAUAUUUCCUAAUGUCAUUUGUACUAAAUCAUUCACUAAUACUCACUAAAGGAGAGCUUAAACCUAUGUACUUGUGUAAACCCUUCAUAAUUAAUGAGAACUCCUCUACUCCGUGGACAUAGCCAAUCUGGAUGAACCACGUACAUCUUGUGUUUACUUCCCUGUCCCUAUCCAUUUACAUACUUAUCCACACUGAGCAAUCUAGCGAAGGUCACAAACUUAACAUUUUCUGUUGUACCAAAGUCUUCACUGAUUUUGUGCAUCAACAGAUUGAGUGAAAUACAAUCACAUUUAUAUUUUUUACUUCUCUCUCUACAUUUCUAUCUUCCACAGAAUCUCUCUCUCUCUAGACUUUAUCAGUUCUCUCUAUAGCCUAAUUUGCCCGGUCUUCCCCUCCAGCCAUAGACUCCGGACCUUCUUCCUCAUCUAGGGUUGGCAAGCCAUGAACCAUCUGGUAUAUGCUACGCUCCCUGGCUCAACCCACGCGACGAGUUUAUACAGUCUAUCAGUACAUGAUAUUGUACUGUGACUGGGCUUGUCGUCGUCGAUGCCCUCGGCAUGGGAAGAUAUGGAUACCAAGAAAGCUUGAUAUCCUAACUGCAACUUCAAGCCAAAAUGUAGACACUCGAAAGAAUUAGAAAACAUGUUCCAGAUUAUUUAUUUGCAGUAAAAUUAAUCAACAAAAUCCCAUUAGAGAAAAAAAAUUGGAAACAAGACCAAGUCCCUUUCAGUAGGUAAUUGUUGGGAAGAUUCAUAGCUAAAUUAUAUAUAUCGAGUUUAUAUCCGCUUGUGUCUGUCUGUACAGCAGGAAGAUGUUGGGAAGGUGGCGAAUGGUCCAAUCUGGCGUGCGUGACUGGAAAUAUUUUGACUGGGGCUAUUAUAUCAUCAUAUAAUAUAAACCCUUCGAUUAUUUUCCAAUUUAGAGUAAAUUAAUAUUUGAGGGCAACGCGUGAGGUUAUGUGUGUGCGUAUACAUAUAUAUGUAUAUAUAUUAUUCUCUUUCUCUCAAAGAUCAUAUCUAAAAAAAAUUACUAAAAUUUGAAAUCAUAUGAACAUUGGAUUCAAUGGUAGUAAUUUUAAGUGUUUCUUUAUAGUAAAAAAAUGGACGAAUACGGUUUUUCAUAUCCUCACAUGCCCCCUCAUGUGUGGUAAAUUUUCAAGCCAAAUACGAGAACAUCACAAAUUGGAUGACGUGCUAGUAUGUGUGGCCGUUGGGCUUCAAACGUGGCCAACUUGUUUUGAUAUUAUGAAGAAGUUGAGGUUCUACUAUAAAACCAAUUGACAAUAUGGUGAGUAGCCCAACCUCUUACAGACCCUUGCAAAAUUUCUGCUUUCACCGAUGUGGAACUCUUUUACCUUUCACACCCUUGAGUAUACCAUAAACAGUUCAGUUGAUUGACUUAGUCUUGCUAUUUAGGAAGGCAUCAAGACGCGGUGUAAACGAAUUAAGAUCCAUUUUACAUUUUCUGUUUUGUAGACUCUGGGAUUUAGUAGUAGUACUGCACUGUCAGUUAUGUCACGUUUCUUCAAUAAUUUGUGGAAGAAAGGUGCACUAUAUUCGUCUGAUCAUAGAAGAAAACCUACAGAUACAGAUAGAGAUGACGCCAAAUGGGCGUUUCCAGAAGAAUUGUGUCGUCGGUUUUCACUCGCGGAGAUCAUAGCAGCAACUCAAAACUUCAAUGCUAGGUUACGGGUUGGCAAUACCAGAAACUUGUCAUUUGACGUUAAUGGCCUAAUAGAAAAGUUUUUGGUGUUUGAUCACCCUGAAGGUCCGAAAACAGAAGACGGUAUUAAUGUUAAUGCUGCAGGUGUCUACAAAGGAUACACCAACUUCAACGGGGUAACUUCCACGGUAGCAAUCAAGCACGUGCCCGGCGCACAAUCAGAUAUUCAGCGGGGACGCGAGUUCAAGGCGGAGGUGCAGCUACUGUGCCAGCUGCGCCACCCUAAUUUAAUCUCUCUAAUCGGAUUCUGCCAAGAAAAGGGAGAGUGCGCCAUUGUUUACAACUACAUGUCCAAUGGUUCCCUUUCUAAUUCCCUUUUCAAUCCUCAUAAAAAUAAUAAGGAUCCGUUGUCUUGGAGGCAAAGGCUGAAUAUCUGCAUUGGGGUGGCGCGUGCAAUACACUAUCUCCACACAGGGGUUAAGCAUGCGGUAAUCCACCGAGACAUUAAAUGUGACAACAUACUCUUGGACCAAAGCUUAGAGGCCAAGCUUUCUAACUUCUGGCUGUCCAAGAUGGGUCCUCCUGUUGUGCCUUGGCCGUUCGUCAGUGCGGAAGUGAGAUUCAGAUUGUCUUACCAAACUACAAACCCACAGUUGAACAGUUUAAAUUACAAGAAAUAAAUACACUGAGAAAUUUACGAUGUUCGGCAAAAAUCUGCCUACGUCCUCCAAGAGAUAUUGCUCUUCACUAUGAGAAUAACUAGUACAAGAUACACUUGAGUUAAAUCAACAUAACCCAAACCCCAAUCCUUUGUACCCUCACAGAAUUUUACUAAGAGCCUCACUCUCCCCAAGAGUUUCUCACUCUCACUCUAUAUUUUCUCUCCUUUGUGUUCUCCUUCAGAUGCUCUCUCAAUGCAUUUCUAAAUGCACAAAUAUUGCAUCUAGUUAUAGGCAUACACUAGCAACUAUGCCAACAAACAAAACCAAAAAGUCUUAAAUUCACAUGACAUAAUUAUCACCUAGCAUACCUAGCAUGCAUCAAAGUCUAUACCUAGUCUAUAAAGUACAACUUUUCUCCAUUUGUCAUUUAAUAUAUAUAAAAUAAAACAUGCACAAUAAAACAUGCACAAUUGCGUGCAAGCAACUAGAAAGUCAAGUCUUGCUUCCAACUUUGCUUGUGGUAGUCACCAUGUCUCCUCUUGAAACAAGACAUCCAUGCCACAACCGAAAACCAAACACAAAAUGGCUACUGUUAUUUCCCUGUAGCACUCAGAAAGUUACACUAUCAAAAUUGUUGCUAACUCAUAAGUAUAUGAGCCAAACACAACACCUCCUACUUUGUCAAAUGCAUUAAUCAGAUUGAACUCGGCUUCCGGAGUGGCAGGUACAUUCGGGUAUCUUGAUCCAGAGUAUGAUUUGUCUGGCCAGCUUACGGAAAAAUCUGAUGUCUACUCGUUUGGAAUGGUGUUAUUCGAAGUGUUGUCUGCCAAAUAUUCAAGAGCGAUACCACGAAUACAUAUGGCUCGCCCAGCUCAUAUUCUAGACCCAUUUCUCAUGGGAAAAAUAGCUCCCGAUUGUUUGAUAAAAUUUUUGGACAUCGUCCAAAGAUGCGUCCGCCCUACAGGAGCCCAACGGCCCACGAUGGGUGAAGUGGAGGUGGAACUUGAGCUUGCACUGGAGCUGCAGGAGAGAGCAGAUGCCGGAAAGGAGUUGAGGACAACUAGCACUCCUCUUGAUCAGCCUGCAGACUGUGCCUACGGUUAUGAAGGGAUAUCAGUUUCCGAAUUGAAUGAGACUUUCUCCUCUCUAUACAUGAGUAGACAGAGUCCAGUAGUUAGCCCAACCAGGUCUGCUGAUUUUUCAGUAGUUAGCCCAACCAGGUCUGCUGAUUUUUCAGUACUUUCUGAUGACGACGGUAGCUCUGAAUUCGAAUUUUCUGGCCGGUAAACAAUUAAAGAAUAUGCAGAAAAAUGCGAUGCUGUUGGAAAAAAAAAAAAAAAACCAUCGAAUGUAUAUUAGUCUUGUGUUUCUUGUAUUAGUUUAAUUGAAUUUCGCAUUGAAAUUGGGGUGUGGCUUCCUAGCUAGCUACCAGUCGUUGGGUAGGUUUGAAUGUUGAGUUUUAGGUUUGAUAUGAAUUUUUCAAGCUCUUCAAAUACAAUAUUCAGCGCAUCUGUCUGCUUUGAUAGUGCCAUUUACGAUGUGUCUGUUUUGUGACUUCUGCGUUGCUGGCAUCCCAAUCCAACUCGAAGUUUGGCCAAUUUCGAAGAAAUUACUUGGUUCUGAUUUUUCUCACAUUUCUUUCCAUGUCCCCAUUACGAAUUCACCCCGUAUGUACGCGUGAAUCUCUUCUGAGUUGGAAAAGUAUGUUGAGUUGACUAUGGGGAUGCCACUUCAAAAGUAAGUCCUCUUUGCCCAGGAGUGCCAAGACUUAUGAUCAUCAUCAAUUGAUUCUUAAUGUCUAAAUCUAAGAUUUUGAGCUCCUGAUCUUGGAAUUAGACAACAGUUAGCACAAUGAUGGGUUUCAGUACUACUGCAGAGUCCGCCUCAUGUUUCUUCUUCUCUGCAUGGAAGAAACUAGCAUCAUGUGAUAAAAGUAGGAAACGCAGACAAAACCAAGACUGGGCCUUUAUGGAGGAAUUAUCCCGCCGAUUUUCGCUAGCUGAGAUCAUAGCAGCCACUGAAUGCUUCAACGACAAGUUCCAUAUUGGUAGCAGUGCCAUGAGCACAGUCUAUAAAGGGUACAUCGACGGCGGGGCAACUGUUGUUGCAAUCAAGCGAUUUACAGGCAGUAGACAAGACUUCAGGAAUGAGGUGCUGCUGUCCUGCCAGCUGCGCCACCCCAACCUUCUCCCUGUUAUUGGAUUCUGUGAAGAAAAGGAGGAACUCAUCCUUGUCUACGACUACAUGGCCAAAGGUGCCCUCUCUUCUAAGCUGUUCAAAAGAGCGGAUCUUGAUCCGCUGCCCUGGAGGCAAAGGCUGAACAUAUGUAUCGGGAUAGCACGCGCAUUGCAUUAUCUCCAUGCAGGGCUAAAACUUGCUAUUGUCCACCGCGACGUGAAAUGCUCCAUCAUACUAUUGGAUGAAAGGUUCGAAGCAAAGGUUUCAAACUUACUAACGUCCAAGAUGGGUCCUCCUAGUUUGUCAAAUAAAUUCAUACGAGUGACCUCUGACAGGAUCGUGGGCACUUUCGGGUAUAUUGAUCCCGAGUAUUUCCAUUUGGAACAAUUUACAGAAAAAUCUGAUGUCUACUCAUUUGGAAUGG